UUGUUCGUUUAAUUCUUCGUUUAACUUUUUCAGAGAGCACAAAUACCAGAAAGAGAGCAAAAGUAAAGAGGUGUCACAUUCGCGACAAAAUUCCUAUUCAAGUGGUGACGUAAUUUGAGGACGAUAACUGGUCAGUUCGAGAUGAAGUACACACACGUACUCUAUAUAUUAUACGCAGGCCACGACCGCGUUUCCGCUGAUAAUAUCGUGUCAGCCUUUGCCAAACGGCGUUCAUUUAACCCCAUCAUUCCAUUGGAGCACGAUGCAAAGACGCCGCUGCACCGAAAGUUCAUUAUACCAUACCGAAUUGUUGGACAUUGUCUCGGGCACAAUUAUUUUGAAGCAGUUUUAUGCAGAAAAUAAAAACGACACUGCCAUGUAUGAGUAAAAAUUUGGAAUCACCAAAUUUUGUGUGUUUUGAAGGAGUUGAGAAUUUUCCGAAAGAAAGUUUAAACUACGAACCACUACAGUUUGAGAGAUUGGUUAUUUACAUAUAUGAAAUUAUAAUAUAUUAAAAUGGAAAGUCAUUAGACAAGAAAUUGAAUUACAAUGUACCAAACUCGAUAAUUGAUAUUUGGAUACAACGACGAAAAAAAAUUACUCUCUACUACAGCGAUACGUUAAAAAAACAGGAGAUUCCAACGCCGGAAAUUGCCGGUUACUCUUGAAUCCUUAAGUAGCCAAUUUCGAUUGAUUCCUCCAGAUCUCUACUGUCAGUCAUUAAAAAUCAACACAGCAUCGGAGGUGGCUAACUUCUGUAUCCUCAGGGGCGGAAAAUAAUGACAACGAUAAGGUACACCAGCCAUCUGUGUUUCGCAUAUGUUUGUAUGUCGCGUAUACUUGCGGCAUCCUACAUGCGAUAUCGUUCCAUAACCUCCCAUUAUACUUCAUUGCCAGAUACAUAUAUGUAUGUAUGGUACGUAUACGUGCAUGCAUCACAGAGCCACUUUCCUCUCUCGGUACACGCAGCUGCUUGAUGGCAAGAGAGAGAAAGAGAGAGAGAGAGAAAGGGGGGCGAGUACUAGGAUAAAAAAAAAGAACCCUUAGAA